GAAAGAGAGAGAUCUUUGGUGUCUUCUGCUCUUCCUAAAAGGACAGCAGUCCUAUCAGAUUAGAGGUCAACCUUUUGACCUCAUUUAGCCUUCACUACCUCCGUAAAGGUCCUAUCUCCAAAUAUAGUCACACUGUGGGUUAGGGCUUCAACAUAUGAAUUUGUGGGGAGGGAACACAAUUUGGUCUAUAACAGCCACUAAGGAAUGACUACUGCUUUGUGCUUCCAUUUUCUCCAUCAGGGGUCCCAGCUGGAGCCUAUUCUAUAUCUCCUUAGGAUUCAAGCAUUGCUGGAGGACUGGUGGAGCAGGACUUCAGGACUCUAUUUAUAUAUAGCUCCUAGAGUAUCUUAGGAAAGAAGCCAUGCUAAGAGAGAGCUGAGUCCCCAAACCUGGUUCAAGGAUGUGAGCCACUGUCAGAAAGGAGAAGAAAUGGUGAAAGCAUCAUGGUCUCUGUCAUUUAGAUCAGCCUCCAGCUCAGCCUCCAUGGAUUCAUGCUUCUGUCAUAAGUCCUGAAUCAGUCUUUUGCCAGCGACAGAGGGGUCGACCACAACAAAUGGGCAGUUUGCACAUGAGACUUAAUGUACAACUCCUUGUUCGUUUUUCCUUGACAGUGGAAGGACAUUGGACCUGACAUACAGAAGUCUCUCAGUAAAGAUUUGCUGUUUUUGAAAUUCCAUGGACACUGACCAGAUCUGUGAAUAAGAAGGCUCUUGGAUAAGAGUGAAAAAAAUGGAUGACACCAAUGUAUCUCACAUGGAGGAAACUGUCUUUAUGAAAACUCUUUGAAAUGCCCUGCAGACACAGAUGUCAGCAGAUGCCCAGCUCAGACAAGGGGAAGCUGUUUUGCAUGAAACAAAGAGAGGAACAUGGUUUAUUGCUUGUGAAAAGGAGGGGGAAGAAAGAAGUUUUCAGGAUGGCUGAGCAGGUCUGCUGCCUCUCCAGUGAAUGAAGGGCCAGAGUCCGGGACUUCGCACAAAACUUUGAUGGAAUUUGGAAGAUUUCCUUGUGGAGGUGACAAGCACUCGAGUUGUCUUUAUAGCCCCAGUAAUAAGAUGAUGGCAUCAUCCAUGUUCCCUCUACCAAUGACUCUUCCAUGGCAACGUAGCUGAGACUGAGGCUAAAGGGCCAAAAAGGUGAGGAUGCUCUCCUUAGCAGAUGAAAAGUCAUGCAUGUGUCUCUUUCUGUGCAUCAUUCAUUUGGCCGCCCAUUUUUCCAUCCCUUCAUCCAUACACUCACCAUUCAACAAAACCU